rnacentral:rRNA from 1 species
GUGACCCCGGUCUUACCACCGGGAUGUUCAUAACCCUUUGUUGUCCGACUCUGUUGCCUCCGGGGCGACCCUGCCUUCGGGCGGGGGCUCCGGGUGGACACUUCAAACUCUUGCGUAACUUUGCAGUCUGAGUAAACUUAAUUAAUAAAUUAAAACUUUUAACAACGGAUCUCUUGGUUCUGGCAUCGAUGAAGAACGCAGCGAAAUGCGAUAAGUAAUGUGAAUUGCAGAAUUCAGUGAAUCAUCGAAUCUUUGAACGCACAUUGCGCCCCCUGGUAUUCCGGGGGGCAUGCCUGUUCGAGCGUCAUUUCACCACUCAAGCCUCGCUUGGUAUUGGGCAACGCGGUCCGCCGCGUGCCUCAAAUCGACCGGCUGGGUCUUCUGUCCCCUAAGCGUUGUGGAAACUAUUCGCUAAAGGGUGUUCGGGAGGCUACGCCGUAAAACAACCCCAUUUCUAAGGUUGACCUCGGAUCAGGUAGGGAUACCCGCUGAACUUAAGCAUAUCAAUAAGCGGAGGAAAAGAAACCAACAGGGAUUGCUCUAGUAACGGCGAGUGAAGCAGCAAUAGCUCAAAUUUGAAAUCUGGCGUCUUCGACGUCCGAGUUGUAAUUUGUAGAGGAUGCUUCUGAGUAACCACCGACCUAAGUUCCUUGGAACAGGACGUCAUAGAGGGUGAGAAUCCCGUAUGCGGUCGGAAAGGUGCUCUAUACGUAGCUCCUUCGACGAGUCGAGUUGUUUGGGAAUGCAGCUCUAAAUGGGAGGUAAAUUUCUUCUAAAGCUAAAUAUUGGCCAGAGACCGAUAGCGCACAAGUAGAGUGAUCGAAAGAUGAAAAGCACUUUGGAAAGAGAGUUAAAAAGCACGUGAAAUUGUUAAAAGGGAAGGGAUUGCAACCAGACUUGCUCGCGGUGUUCCGCCGGUCUUCUGACCGGUCUACUCGCCGCGUUGCAGGCCAGCAUCGUCUGGUGCCGCUGGAUAAGACUUGAGGAAUGUAGCUCCCUCGGGAGUGUUAUAGCCUCUUGUGAUGCAGCGAGCGCCGGGCGAGGUCCGCGCU